UUUGCCUGGGGACCUUGUUAAAAUGCAGAUUUCUGAUUUAGUGGAUCUCAGGUAGAGCCUGAGAUUCUGCAUUUUUAACAAGCUUCCAGGUGCUGUGCU
rnacentral:pre_miRNA from 1 species